GCGUUUCCCUCGGGCCUCCGGAGAGUCUAAAAACUCACUUCGGAGGAAGGGAAAGAGCGUGAAGUGGCUCUUUCGAUCUGAGACACCCCUUCCCGGAGAAAUCGCUCCCUCCCCCAGCCCAGCGCGGAGUGAAAUCUUAGAAGCCACGGCGGCUGGGUUUGAACGGAAUGCCGGAGUCGGUGGAAGCCGGAGCUGGUCGGCCACAAGCUCCUUCUGUGUGUGGCUGAUUCUUUCCAUUUCAGCUCCUCUGUCACCUUGUGAUACAGCCAGGGGACCCUCACCAGGACACCAGCACCAUGUUGUUCGGACCUUCCUACCACCAGGAUUGGGAG
ensembl:lncRNA